UGGAUCCAGACUUUGAUUCUGGCUCAGGAUAAACGCUGGCGGCGCACAUAAGACAUGCAAGUCGAACGGACUUAACUCAUUCUUUUAGAUUGAGAGCGGUUAGUGGCGGACUGGUGAGUAACACGUAAGCAACCCGCCUAUCAGAGGGGAAUAACAGUGAGAAAUCAUUGCUAAUACCGCAUAAGCUAGUAAUAUCACAUGAUAUAGCUAGAAAAGGAGCAAUCCGCUGAUAGAUGGGCUUGCGUCUGAUUAGCUAGUUGGUGGGGUAACGGCCUACCAAGGCGACGAUCAGUAGCCGAACUGAGAGGUUGAACGGCCACAUUGGGACUGAGGUACGGCCCAGACUCCUACGGGAGGCAGCAGUCGGGAAUAUUGCGCAAUGGAGGAAACUCUGACGCAGUGACGCCGCGUAUAGGAAGAAGGUUUUCGGAUUGUAAACUAUUGUCGUGAGGGAAGAAAUUGACAGUACCUCAGGAGGAAGCUCCGGCUAACUAUGUGCCAGCAGCCGCGGUAAUACAUAGGGAGCAAGCGUUAUCCGGAAUUAUUGGGUGUAAAGGGUGCGUAGACGGGAAAUUAAGUUAGUUGUGAAAUCCCUUGGCUUAACUGAGGAACUGCAACUAAAACUGGUUUUCUUGAGUAUUGGAGAGGAAAGUGGAAUUCCUAGUGUAGCGGUGAAAUGCGUAGAUAUUAGGAGGAACACCAGUGGCGAAGGCGACUUUCUGGACAAUAACUGACGUUGAGGCACGAAAGUGUGGGGAGCAAACAGGAUUAGAUACCCUGGUAGUCCACACUGUAAACGAUGGAUACUAGGUGUAGGGUGUAUUAAGCACUCUGUGCCGCCGCAAACGCAUUAAGUAUCCCACCUGGGGAGUACGACCGCAAGGUUGCAACUCAAAGGAAUUGACGGA
rnacentral:rRNA from 1 species